rnacentral:lncRNA from 1 species
GCCUCCUCCCUCUCCAGUCCUCCUUCAGCAGGCCCUGGGACUGCCCCAGAGUGCUCAGCGUGACCCUCAGUGUGUCCCUGUCGCUGGGGCCCAGUGCUCAGUCAGUGCCCAGGAAGGUCCCCAUACAUAGCCCUCUGGGGGGAGGCUCUGGGCUGGGAUACUCAGUGUGAAAUGCCUGCCUCACCCCUUCACCUGGCAAGCUCCUAUGCACCCCACAGAACCCAGUCCAGCUGCCAUCCCCUCUGCAAUGCCUACUCUUUCUUGCCAUAUUGACCGCCCACUCCUCUGCUCCCCUCUGUCCCUUGCUCCUCCCUAACUCCCUGGGGGCAGGAACCUGCUCUCCUGAACCCCCUCCUGUCUCCUGGUGCCCAGCACCAGCCCAGGCCUGUCUCACCUCCUAGACACUUUUCCCCAAGAAGCAGGAGUCCAGGGUUGGGCCAGAGUGGGCCUGGGACAUGUGCCCCACCGGCAUUGAAAGGGUCUGCCCUAGACACCCAUGUCCCAGCUCUACCCCACGGUACAACUGAGGAUCCACGCCCUGACCCCGGGCCCAGGGGUGGCCUGGCCUCUGUGCCAGCGCCCAGUCCUGCCUAAGCUCCGGAAGUCUCUCCUGCUCCCCUGGGAGCCCCGGAGGUCCGCUGCACCCCCUGGUGCACCGCUGGGGAAUCCUCAGUGAGACAGGUCCAGGCAGGUCUGUCCUCAGUCCCGCCCCGACCUGCCCUGGCCAGGCCCGUUUGCUCAGGUGGCCCAGAGCAGGAGGCGACGGACCAACCAGCACCAAGCAGAAGGAUCACGGCCCCCCUGCCGGAUGUGGAUUUAACCUUUCA